AAACCAGCACCUCAAGUGGUCAGGAUGAUUAUUGGGCCUAAAGCAUCCGUAGCCUGCUCUGUAAGUUUUCGGUUAAAUCUGUAUGCUCAACAUACAGGCUGCCGGGAAUACUGCAGAGCUAGGGAGUGGGAGAGGUAGACGGUACUCGGGAGGAAGUGGUAAAAUGCUUUGAUCUCUCGAUGACCACCUGUGGCGAAGGCGGUCUACCAGAACACGUCCGACGGUGAGGGAUGAAAGCUGGGGGAGCAAACCGGAUUAGAAACCCCGGUAGUCC
rnacentral:rRNA from 1 species